rnacentral:lncRNA from 1 species
UUUUUAGAAAAAAUAAUAAGCCUUUAAUCCCAUUCUCCCCACCCUAGCCCUCCCUCUCCUUCUCCUCUCCUCUUCUCUUUCAAUUUUUUUCUUUUCUUUUUGGUUGUCGCCGCCCAUAGUUCUUAAUCUACCAUCUUUUUUUUUCCUUUUUUUCCACAAGAUCUUUCACCAUCUCCUCCUCCAUCUUGCUACCAUUUUCCCUUAAUUUUCUAGCCCCAAGUCUAAAAUUUUGGAUCUCCAAGAACGAUUUCGCUUGUUGCCAAAAAGUACCAUUGC